GUCAGGUGCAGUGGCAGGCGCCUGUAAUCCCAGAGGCUGGGGAGGCUGAGGCAGGAGGAUCACAAGUUCAAAACCAGCCUCAGCAAAAGCAAGGCAUUAAGCAACUCAGUGAGACCCUGUCUCUA
rnacentral:sRNA from 1 species